AGAGGAGGGAAUCUAAUGCUCACUCCUAUCUCUUCCCUUUCCCAUAAGGAAGAAGGGCAAGUUUGCGCACGGACGUUCACAGGGAGAUGAGGGCGCUCGACAUAAAAUUCUAAUCCUCACAACGGCCCAGCGAGAAUUAACUUGCCCUGCGGCCAGCCUGGUAGAAUCGAAGAGAGCAAGAGAGUAGAAGAGACGGAGGGACUGCGGGGGAACAGAGACACCCAAGAUCUAGUAAAGGAGACCAAGCAGCCC